UACGUAGGUGGCAAGCGUUACUCGGAAUCACUAGGCGUAAAGCGCAGGUAGGCGGUUUGAUAAGUUUCUUGUGAAAGCUCCCGGCUCAACUGGGAGAGGCCAAGGAAAACUGUCAGGCUAGAGUGCGGCAGAGGAAGCUAGAAUUCCCGGUGUAGCGGUGAAAUGCGUAGAUAUCGGGAGGAAUACCUAUGGCGAAAGCAGGCUUCUGGGCCGUCACUGACGCUGAUCUGCGAAAGCUAGGGGAGCAAACAGG
rnacentral:rRNA from 1 species